rnacentral:tRNA from 1 species
AGGGCAGUAGCACAAUUGGCAGUGCACCGGACUCCAAAUCCGGGGGUUGAGGGUUCGAGUCCUUCCUGCCCUGCCA